rnacentral:other from 1 species
UUAUUCCUGAAGUGUGCGCCAGCGCCCUGUUUUUACCCACAUUUCACUCUACGGAGCCCUCGUCGGAGAGCGGAUGUCAUGCCCCCGUGGAGACACGCCAGGGGACGGCAGAAACUCGAUGCCGGGCACCGGCCUGCUUUACAUAGCGGGUGAAAAAAUGGGACGCAGCGGCACUUUGGGGUAGCC